rnacentral:rRNA from 1 species
GUACACGCUGUGACUAGCAUAUCAAUAAGCGGAGGAAAAGAAACUAACAAGGAUCCCCUAGUAACGGCGAGUGAAGCGGGAAGAGCUCAAAUUUGAAAUCUUAAAGGGUUUCCCUUUACGAAUUGUAGUUUAAAGAAGUGUUUUCUGUUGAGGUUUUGGUAAAAGUUCUUUGGAAUAGGACAUCAUAGAGGGUGAGAAUCCCGUAUUUGACCUUUACUUUCAACUUUGUGAUACACUUUCAAAGAGUCGGAUUGUUUGGGAAUGCAGUCCAAAAUGGGUGGUAAAUUUCAUCUAAAGCUAAAUAUUGGCGAGAGACCGAUAGCGAACAAGUACCGUGAGGGAAAGAUGAAAAGAACUUUGAAAAGAGAGUUAAACAGUACGUGAAAUUGUCAAAAGGGAAGCGUUUGACACCAGUGUUGUUUUUCUGAAAAUCAAUUAAAGAACUGUUUAUGCUAAGUUGUUUAGACUUUAUCAGCUAUCUGUUUAGUUUUGAGCUUUUCUUUAAUGCACUUUUCAGUUAACAAGUCAACAUCAAUUUCUUUUGCUGUAAAAAAGCUUGAGGAGGGUGGCUUGAGAUUCGUCUUAAGUGUUUAUAGCCUCUUGCCUAUGCAGUCGGAGAGAUUGAGGUCUGCAGCGUAGAUCCUUCGGGGCUAAAUGCAUUUGUGCUAAGUUAUAGCAUUUUAUAGACAACUUGUUGACUAUGAUUUGUCUUGUAGCUUACUCGCUUAUGUUAUUUUACCUACGCUUAGGAUGUUGAAGAUGUAGCACAUCAU